GUCCUACCUGCUAAACAGCUUUCCUUACAUUGACCAGAUUCGACAGUGCCUUUUCCAGUUGGGCACGGCAAGUUGUGGCUUGUACAGGGACCUCCUGAGAUCAGAACUUCUUGCAGUGAGGAUGGCACUGGAAAGUUCCCAAGGUAAUUGGACAGGAGAAUUCGAUUUCUUAAUGGAUCAGCUACCUGUAGCCAUCAUGACCGUGAACUCCACACGUGCAGAUGCUAGACUGGCUAUGGGAUUGUCAUCUUGGAUUGAGGCUGCUAUGAAUCAUCUGAGGGAGUGGGCAGGAACCACAUCAAGCAGGGAAGUCCAGAUGAUUCUGAGAGGAUGGCAGCUCCUGAUUACCAUGUGUGGAAGGCUCAGAUCAAGGCUGUUUCUUCAGCGAACCCACUCAAUCCGUACCCAAGACACACCAAGCUUUCCCGUGG
ensembl:lncRNA